rnacentral:rRNA from 1 species
UACAGAGGUCUCAAGCGUUGUUCGGAUUCAUUGGGCGUAAAGGGUGUGUAGGUGGCGCGCUAAGUCGGGUGUGAAAUUUCGGAGCUUAACUCCGAAACUGCAUUCGAUACUGGCGUGCUUGAGGACUGGAGAGGAGACUGGAAUUCAUGGUGUAGCAGUGAAAAUGCGUAGAGAUCAUGAGGAAGACCAGUGGCGAAGGCGGGUCUCUGGACAGUUCCUGACACUGAGACACGAAGGCCAGGGGGAGCAAACGGG